GACGAACGCUGGCGGCGUGCUUAACACAUGCAAGUCGAACGGGCCUGUCUUCUUUUUUGGGGGUGGGUUGAGUGGCGAACGGGUGAGUAUCACGUGAGUAACCUGCCCUUCGGUCCUGGAUAACCGCUUGAAAGGGCGGCUAAUACGGGGUGGUCCGGUUGGUCCGCAUGGGCUGGUCGGGAUAGAUUCACUGUUUUUGGUGUUUCGGCGGGGGAUGGGCUCGCGGCCUAUCAGCUUGUUGGUGGGGUGAUGGCCUACCAAGGCGGUGACGGGUAGCCGGCCUGGGGGGGUGGGCGGCCACACUGGGACUGAGAUACGGCCCAGACUCCUGCGGGAGGCAGCAGUGGGGGGUAUUGCACAAUGGGCGGAAGCCUGAUGCAGCGACGUCGCGUGAGGGAUGGAGGCCUUCGGGUUGUGAACCUCUGUUUCCGGUGGUGAAGGCCCUGUCCGUGUGGUGGGGUUGACGGUAGCCGGGGAUGAAGCGCCGGCUAACUACGUG
rnacentral:rRNA from 1 species